GCCAGGCGUGGUGGUGGGCGCCUGUAGUCCCAGCUACUUGGGAGGCUGAGGAAGGGGAAUCGCUUGAACCUGGGAGGCGGAGCUUGCAGUGAGCCGAGAUGGAUCAUGCCACUGCACUCCAGCCUGGGCAACAGAGCGAGACUCCCUCUCAAAAAAAAGAAAAAAAAGAGUGGUGAGAGGGGACAUCUUUGGUCUGGCUGGAGUUCAUUGGUGCGAUCUUGGCUCACUGCAACCUCCGCCUCCUGGGUUCAAGCGAUUCUCCUGUCUCA
rnacentral:sRNA from 1 species